rnacentral:rRNA from 1 species
GAUGAACGCUGGCGGCGUGCCUAAUACAUGCAAGUCGAGCGAACGGACGAGAAGCUUGCUUCUCUGCUGUUAGCGGCGGACGGGUGAGUAACACGUGGAUAACCUACCUUUACGACUGGGUUAACUUCGGGAAACCGUAGCUAAUACCGGAUAAUAUUUCGAACUGCAUGGUUCAACAGUGUAAGACGGUCUUGCUGUCACUUAUAGAUGGGUCCGCGCUGCAUUAGCUAGUUGGUAAGGUAACGGCUUACCAAGGCAACGAUGCAUAGCCGACCUGAGAGGGUGAUCGGCCACACUGGAACUGAGACACGGUCCAGACUCCUACGGGAGGCAGCAGUAGGGAAUCUUCCGCAAUGGGCGAAAGCCUGACGGAGCAACGCCGCGUGAGUAAUGAAGGUCUUCGGAUCGUAAAACUCUGUUAUUAGGGAAGAACAUAUGUGUAAGUAACUGUGCACAUCUUGACGGUACCUAAUCAGAAAGCCACGGCUAACUACGUG